UGCGCUUUUGUCUACCGCUUCAACAAACUUAAUGCACAUUAUCUCCCACUUAGCCGUUUUCAACACUUUGCUGGUCUCCGACAAAAAUAGCAAAACUCAUCUUCUUCUUCUCAAAGAACAUUGAAUCGAACCCAUCUUCUUCUCAAAACACCAUCUUCUGAAAACACUCGAUAAAUCCUAGGGCUCGAUCUAGUCAAUUAGGGUUUUCAAUUUGGGGAUUUGAAGGAUGGAGGAGGAAAAGGUAGGGGGUUUCUCUGGUACAUUAAUCGAUAAAUCUGGAGGAAGAGAGGAGGAGGAAGAAGAAGACCCAACAACAACAAUAACAACGAGAUUACUAGGAACAACAGCAGAAGAAGAUCAUCAUCCAAAUCCUCUGGCCUCUGAUUGUCGAGGGCGGUCUUUUAUCUGAUUGGUUUUUACCUCAAACCCCAAUCACAGGUCUCUGCUUUAUUCCUAUAAUUCAUCAUUAACACAUAGUCCUCGGCACCCAGCUCCUCACCCAAGCCAGAUCUAUCACCUCUAAUUCUCCACCACCUCUCUCUCUCCAAGGAAGCUCUCGACGAAGCCGAGAAGGCCAUCACACUCCAUCCGCAAGAGGUUGCCGCUCACAUCCUUAAAGCCUUAGCUCUCGACUCCCAGGGGCUUCAAGACCUCCCUGCUCGAUGCCAUCGACAUUACAUUCUUCAAGCGGACGGAGAUUAGGAUGUCCAUGAACCCUAACAGACACCAAGGAGAUUAGGAGUUCUAUGAGAGAAGAAGAUGAUAGAGGAGGUCAAGAAGGCUUACGAGGAGGCUUUGAAGCUUCAUCUAAGAAUGACAACCAGUCCCCCAAGGCCACAGGAAUGGUAUCAAGAAGCCCUAGAGGCACCGCCACACUUUCACCAACAGGUGGCUUCAUAUUUGUUCUUGUUGAGAUUAGCAGAAAGGGAUCAAGUAUGUGCCAUAUAGCUUUAUUGUUGUUCCUCUGAUUUGCAAAGAAAGAGGUUUGACAUGCUGAAUAGAAGGCAAUAAGGCUUGCCACUUUUGAAAGAAGCUCUCGAAAAUGUUCAUGCUAAACUAGAGUCUAAUGUACCAACUAAGGAAAGGUGGUGCCUUCGGCCAUGGUCAUGGAAUCUUACACAAUCCCAUGGAAUCAAAUGAGAACACACAGAACCUUCAACUGCCACGGAGAUGCAAAUAUGGAAGUUACGAUCAUCCAUAGUAUAGCACGCAUACAUGUCAAUCAUACUGUCAUAUUGAGAUGCUUUAUAGAUAAGGGGUCUGGGGGACUUUAUCCUCUGUCAGGUAUGGAAGUGAAGUUCAACGAAACAAGAGAACUAAAUAUGAUACAGCAAACUAUACGGAUAACGAUUGUGCUUUAAAAGGUGCCAGUAGAAGUACCUUAUUGGAAUCAAGUCUUCAGGGACCUGGGAUGGGCACUGAUGGUGGAUAUUGGAAGGGAACAAGGCCCAGCUUGUGGUUAUCGCUCAUGAUGUCGAUCCAGUUGAGUUGGUUGUAUGGCUCCCUGCUUUAUGACUGAAACUCUGAAGACCAUGACUGAAACUCUCAAGCAGACGGGUCGAAAAGCGAGAUUGAUUGGGCAAGGGAUCCCAGAAGGUCAUCCCAUUAAAAAAAUUGUGCUCUUGCGUAUCGGAUCCCAUAAUUGAAAAGGCAUGUCACAACCCAACCUUGAGUCAUGACUAAGGUGGUGGUUAAAAACUGAAAUCAGAUGGGAGAGGAGAGGCAGUAACCAAUACACCCAAGCGGAUAUUGAUCAAGUGCGAAAUGAGUGGGGGAAGUUUGUUGUCAACAAAUAUGUGCAUGAGCCAUGAAGUAGCGCGCUUGUUGCUGGUCCAUUUUUGCUAAGGAAAGCAUCUUUUUUUGUGCUUCUCUGCUGGUACAUUGUCAUGCACCAUGUGUUGCAUGUUUUGGAACAAUCGAUAUAUAUGUAUUAGCUUUUUGAUGUCCCAAGUAGAUGGGCAUGCACUAGAAUGCUUUUCUUGUUUAAAAUGUUAGGUUCAAUGAUUAGUGGUUUGCAAUGUUUAUA